rnacentral:rRNA from 1 species
GUUAGGAAUAUUGGACAAUGGACGCAAGUCUGAUCCAGCCAUGCCGCGUGAGUGAUGAAGGCCUUCGGGUUGUAAAGCUCUUUAGCCGAUGAUUAUAAUGACUGUAGUCGGAAAAUAAGCCCCGGCUAACUUCGUGCCAGCAGCCGCGGUAAUACGAAGGGGGCGAGCGUUAUUCGGAAUCACUGGGCGUAAAGCGUGCGUAGGCGGUUUUGUAAGUUGGGAGUGAAAGCCCAGGGCUCAACCCUGGAAUUGCUCUCAAAACUACAAGACUUGAAUUCGGGAGAGGAUAGCGGAAUUGUCAGUGUAGCAGUGAAAUGCGUAGAUAUUGACAGGAACACCAGUGGCGUAAGCGGCUAUCUGGACCGACAUUGACGCUGAGGCACGAAAGCGUGGGGAUCAAACAGGAUUAGAUACCCUUGUAGUCC